GGCCCCGUAGCGGAGCGGGUUAACACGCCUGCCUGUUACGCAGGAGACCGUGGGGUUGAUUCCCGUCGGGACCGCUA
rnacentral:tRNA from 1 species